rnacentral:rRNA from 1 species
ACUCAAAUGAAUAGACGGGGGCCCGCACAAGCGGUGGAGCAUGUGGUUUAAUUCGACGCAACGCGAAGAACCUUACCUAGGCUCGAACGGCUUUAGAAGAUCAGCAGAAACGUUGGUCGUUCCGCAAGGAACUGGAGUCGAGGUGCUGCAUGGCUGUCGUCAGCUCGUGUCGUGAGAUGUUGGGUUAAGUCCCGCAACGAGCGCAACCCUUGUCCUGUGUUGCCAUCAUUUAGUUGGGCACUCUCAGGAGACCGCCAGUGAUAAACUGGAGGAAGGUGGGGACGACGUCAAGUCAUCAUGGCCUUUAUGUCUAGGGCUACACACGUGCUACAAUGGUCGGUACAAUGCGCUGCAAACCCGCGAGGGGGAGCCAAUCGCAAAAAACCGAUCUCAGUUCGGAUUGCAGGCUGCAACUCGCCUGCAUGAAGCUGGAAUCGCUAGUAAUGGCGUAUCAGAAUGACGCCGUGAAUACGUUCCCGGGCCUUGCACACACCGCCCGU